UGGAACAACGAAGAUUUACUUUAUUAUUUUUUUAAUGUGCUGCUGGGAAAGGAACCCAGGGUUUCAUGCAUGCUAAGCAUACUCCAAAUUUAUGUGUUGAUUUACUUUAGUCAGGGAAGUCUGAAGUCUGAUGUGGCUGAAGAGGGUCUCACUGGGCUAACACCAAGGUGUCAGCAGGGCUGGGUCCUUCUGGAGGCUCCAGUUCAGGGCCUCCUGUAUCCCUGGGUUUGCGGUCCCCUCCGUUUUCAAAAUCAGCAGUAUCACCUCGCUCUGUCUCCAGCCACAACUGGAGCUAAUUCUCUGGUUUUAAGGACCACCGUCAUUCCUUGGGCCACCUGGGUGAUCCAGGGUGCUCUCUCACUCAGGUUAGUCAUACCUGUAGGGCUCCUUCUGAUCAUAGAGGAACACUGUGACAUCUGAGGCCUGGGACCUGACCUUUCCUUGAGCACGAGGACAGAAAGAUGCCACCUCCCUCCCUUCCUUCCUGGCUUCCCACUUGGAGUCUGGAGCUUACACAUGGUCAUACCUAGAAAGGUCAGGGAAACUGAGGCCACAGAUCCUCAUGUGCUCUCUCCCUUCCCUAUCCCAGGAGGUCGAAGCACCUGAUCUUGGAGGGACACCCCUGCCCCCGUCCCCAGACCCUGGAGUGCAGGGGUUUCUCUUCUCAUCUUGAAGGGAAGGAAGCUGAGGCUCUCAGGGGGCUGCAGCUGGUCCCUAAAGGGGACUGGCUUCCUGCAGAGAGAAGCAGGCAUGACUGGGACUGUCCCUUGGGCAGAAGGGCAUGGUGCUGGUCCUGGCAGAGCCCUCUGGCAGGAGCCUAUGCCCUCAGUGACAAGCAGCUGAGAACCACACCUCAGGGCAGAGAGCUAGAUAAACAGAGGAGGUAGAUUCAUUUCCCUGAAGACACAGCUCGCUGGAGAAUCCAGGCACCCUCACCAUCAUCUGCCCAGACCUGCAGAGCGCUGUGGGACGAUCUGAAGCGAGGCCAGGGUGCCAUGGUUUAAGGGGAAGACUUUUCCAACAUGGUGGUCACCUAGAUAGGGGCGACACGGGCUCUUCCGAGUUCAAAUCCUGGGCCACCUUUCUGGGGUGAGCUUUGGCACUUUGCCUGAACUCGCCAU
rnacentral:lncRNA from 1 species